rnacentral:piRNA from 1 species
UUAAUUCGAAAAACAACAAGA